GAUGAACGCUGGCGGCGUGCCUAAUACAUGCAAGUCGAGCGAACAGAUGAGGAGCUUGCUCCUCUGACGUUAGCGGCGGACGGGUGAGUAACACGUGGAUAACCUACCUAUAAGACUGGGAUAACUUCGGGAAACCGGAGCUAAUACCGGAUAAUAUAUUGAACCGCAUGGUUCAAUAGUGAAAGACGGUUUUGCUGUCACUUAUAGAUGGAUCCGCGCCGCAUUAGCUAGUUGGUAAGGUAACGGCUUACCAAGGCAACGAUGCGUAGCCGACCUGAGAGGGUGAUCGGCCACACUGGAACUGAGACACGGUCCAGACUCCUACGGGAGGCAGCAGUAGGGAAUCUUCCGCAAUGGGCGAAAGCCUGACGGAGCAACGCCGCGUGAGUGAUGGAGGUCUUCGGACCGUAAAACUCUGUUAUUGGGGAAGAACAAAUGUGUAAGUAACUAUGCACGUCUUGACGGUACCUAAUCAGAAAGCCACGGCUAACUACGUG
rnacentral:rRNA from 1 species